rnacentral:rRNA from 1 species
CCCUUAGAUGUUCUGGGCCGCACGCGCGCUACACUGAUGCAUUCAACGAGUCUAAAACCUGGUCUGAUAGGGCUGGGUAAUCUUUUGAAAGUGCAUCGUGAUUGGGAUAGAUGAUUGCAAUUCUUCAUCUUCAACGAGGAAUGCCUAGUAAACGCAAGUCAUCAGCUUGCAUUGAUUACGUCCCUGCCCUUUGUACACACCGCCCGUCGCUCCUACCGAUUGAAUGAUCCGGUGAACCUCUUGGACUGGACUCGUAAGGGUUCGGGAAGUUAAGUAAACCUAAUCACUUAGAGGAAGGAGAAGUCGUAACA